UACGGAGGGUGCAAGCGUUGUCCGGAAUCACUGGGCGUAAAGGGCGCGUAGGCGGCUCAUGAAGGCUGUGGUGAAAGUCCGGGGCUCAACCUCGGAUCGGCCGUGGCGACUCGUGGGGCUGGAGCACUGUAGAGGCGGGUGGAAUUCCGGGUGUAGCGGUGGAAUGCGUAGAGAUCCGGAAGAACACCAGUGGCGAAGGCGGCCCGCUGGGCAGUGGCUGACGCUGAGGCGCGACAGCGUGGGGAGCAACAGG
rnacentral:rRNA from 1 species